rnacentral:rRNA from 1 species
GACGGAGGAUGCAAGUGUUAUCCGGAAUCACUGGGCGUAAAGCGUCUGUAGGUGGUUUAAUAAGUCAACUGUUAAAUCUUGAGGCUCAACCUCAAAAUCGCAGUCGAAACUAUUAGGCUAGAGUAUAGUAGGGGUAAAGGGAAUUUCCAGUGGAGCGGUGGAAUGCGUAGAGAUCCGGAAGAACACCGGUGGCGAAGGCGGCCUGCUGGGCAGUUGCUGGACACUGAGG